ensembl:lncRNA
CUUUGGAUCAUGGCCAGGUGGCUUUAGCCCAAGCGGCAAUGGACAGGCAGGUCCAGUUGGUCCUCACGGACGUUUUAAAGACUGAACAGGGGCUGGCCUACCUGGACAAGAAAAGGCGUGGCCUGAUGACUGACAAUGGAGAGACAAAGAGAGAGUCGUGGGUGGGGAGUAGGCAGAGGGUGUCUCCGAGCAGCAGAGAGGGGGGGGAUGAUCGGAGAGAUGACCCCCAAUACAGAAAGAGACCCCAUGACCACGACACACCCACCUCGACCCGCAAGGAGACGAGGUCACACCAUAGAGGGGGGUCAGAGGAAGAAGAGGAGAUGAAAGAAGUCAUAAUAGGAGAGGAGAACGAGGGUAGUGUGUCAGGGAGGCGCAGGUCUGGGGUACCUCUGGAGGAGGUGACCUUUACUGAGGGGGACAGGCACCAGAAAAAGCGUUACCCACAAUCCACCAGGACCAGGAAGUUCAAUUCAGGUUCAAGUGAAUCCACACGCGCUGAGAGGGAGAGAUGUAGGAGGGAGUCUGGGCUCUACUGUAACGGACAGGUGAAGGAUGGAUGGAUGAAGG